ACACACUGUGUCCAGGCAUGCAAGCAUGCUACACACCACACCACACACACACACACACACACACACACUCGAACUUACAGCUACAGAAGUUAAACAUCACAUUCCACUUCAGUCCAUUCCAAAGAGCGCUGGUUGUCACCACAACAGUGACCUCCUGGCCCACCAUGGAUGGACAGCCACAUGGAAUCUGAGCACCACCGCCCCCGUGGUCCGGCCCCUGCCUGCCUCUGAGAGUUUCUCUCCUGCGCUGCUCUCUCACUCACUUUGAUGCAGACACACUGGCUCCCUUUCUGUUCCAGGCACGUGCCUGUCCCAGGUCCUUUGCUUUGCCCCUCGCCAGCUGGUGUCCUCUUCCUAGUUACCCAAGGGAGCUGCUUUGUCCUCCUUUGAAGGUGCCUGUUUAGAUUUCACCUGCCAGGGAACUCGGCAUAAUUUUGCCAUCACCAAUGAAUUAGUUUAAAAACGUCUGCUGCUGCUGCCGCAAACCCCUCUACAGCUGUUUUUGAGGUGACCCCAGUAAGGAGGCCCCCCAGACGGCUGAGGAUCCCAAGGAAGGCUUUUGUGGGAACGGCUCAGAUGACCAUGGGCAGCAGCCCCUCACCACUCCUGGAACUGCAUCCUCACCUGCCUGUAACCCUCCUCCCACGAAGCCGGAGCCACCCCUGGAUCCUUGGCCCGGCCGGGCCAUCCCUCGCUCACCAGCUCUGCCUCACCUGCUCUCAUGGCCUCAGGAGGAUGUGCCCUCGUGCCCUAGGGCCUUUGCAAGGCUGCACACACUGGACACUCUUCCACCCUGUGUCACCCUCCUCCUCCUCACUCACUCCUGGUUGGCUCUGGGCUCCUGACUCCACUGACUGGGAAAACCGAGUACUUUCUCCUUCACACAGACAGAUAUGUAAUUACGGGUCACUAUGUGCGUCCCCCUGCCCAGCCAUGGGGCUGUACAUUCUAAGGAGCAGGGGCCAGCCCACCCUACUCACACUGCAGCCCCAGGCAGU
rnacentral:lncRNA from 1 species